rnacentral:lncRNA from 1 species
GCCAGCUCCACCGUACGGGUUGUGCCCGCCCCUCCCAGACCCCGAUCACCCGCAGCUACGAGAGUUGCCGCCGCCAGUGUGUGCCGGGCGACGUCGCCCACGCCCCUGCCAGCCAUCCUCACAGCAGCAGCAGCCCUGGUAGAAAUUGAUGUGGGCACCCUCUCGACCCGCCCCUGUACUUGUCUUUGUCCCAGCUCUGCGGACUGAGCCUACCUCUCUUCCUUGGGCCUCCAGAAUUCUCUGAAUUGCUUAAGUCUCUGGCCUCAAAUGCCCCAAGAUCCUCCUUGGGAGACCUCUCUGACAGGGAGCUUGGGGGAGAGCAGAGGGGCAUUGACUUAACUCUGCUGGAGGGAUCUUCUGAGGAAGAAACUUCUCCUUCUGCAUCCAGGCUGUGCUGGGCCCUGGACUCAGAGGAGAGGUGGUCCCAUGCCAUUGGAUUGCAUCUAUGACUUCGGGAGGUAGGGCGAAGACUGGUCCCCCAGACACCACAGAGCUUCCCAUCUUCUUUUGCCAGGUAAAGGUUGGGGGCUGCUCCCAGGAGCCCACAUCAAAUCUGUUUGCUCUGAGGCCUAGAACCACAAGGCCCCUAGUGCUUCAAAAGCCAUGGGGGUUCUCAUAGGACCCAGGAACUCUAAGGUGGCUUCUGAAGCUCAGACCCCAGGAAGGGAGAGCUUGGAGUGGGUCAGGAGACCAGGGAACCAUCUCUCAUUCCACCUCUUCUUCAUUGCAGGCCCUUAGACAAAAGCCACCCUCUGAUACCUCCUUGGCC